CCUACGGGUGGCAGCAGUGGGGAAUAUUGCACAAUGGGCGCAACCCUGAUGCAGCGACGCCGCGUGAGUGAAGAAGUCUUUCGGUAUGUAAAGCUCUAUCAGCAGGGAAGAAAAGGACGGUACCUGUCUAAGAAGCGCCGGCUAAAUACGUGCCAGCAGCCGCGGUAAUACGUAGGGGGCAAGCGUUAUCCGGAUUUACUGGGUGUAAAGAGAGCGUAGACGGCAGCACAAGUCUGGUGUGAAAAGUCGGGGCUUAACCCCGGAACUGCUUUUGAAACUGUGCACCUUGAGUGCAGGAGAGGUAAGCGGAAUUCCUGGUGUAGCGGUGAAAUGCGUAGAUAUAAGGAAGAACACCAGUGGCGAAGGCGGAUUACUGGACUGUAACUGACGGUGAGGCUCGAAAGCGUGGGGAGCAAACAGGAUUAGAUACCCGAGUAGUC
rnacentral:rRNA from 1 species